UCUUAUGGAUGAGUAAAGAAAGUAAUUUCUUGAGAUAGAAUCUAGUCCUGGUGAGGAUGCUAUGAA
rnacentral:pre_miRNA from 1 species